rnacentral:rRNA from 1 species
GAGUGAUCGAAAGAUGAAAAGCACUUUGGAAAGAGAGUCAAAAAGUACGUGAAAUUGUUGAAAGGGAAGCGCUUGCAACCAGACCUGCCCGCGGGUGAUCAGCCGUCCUUCGGGGCGGUGCACUCACCCGCGAUCAGGCCAGCAUCGGUUCGGGCGGUCGGAUAAAGGCCUUGGGAACGUGGCUCCCCUCGGGGAGCGUUAUAGCCCAGGGUGCAAUGCGGCCCGCCCGGACCGAGGACCGCGCUUCGGCUAGGAUGCUGGCGUAAUGGUUGUAAGCGGCCCGUCUUGAAACACGGACCAAGGAGUCGACCAACCGUGCGAGUGUUUGGGCGUCAAACCCACACGCGCAAUGAAAGUGAACGGAGGUGGGAACCCCUCGCGGGGCGCACCAUCGACCGAUCCAGAUGUCUUCGGAUGGAUUUGAGUACGAGCAUGGCUGGUCGGACCCGAAAGAUGGUGAACUAUGCCUGGAUAGGGUGAAGCCAGAGGAAACUCUGGUGGAGGCUCGCAGCGGUUCUGACGUGCAAAUCGAUCGUCAAAUUUGGGCAUAGGGGCGAAAGACUAAUCGAACCAUCUAGUAGCUGGUUCCAGCCGA